rnacentral:rRNA from 1 species
GACGAACGCUGGCGGCGUGCUUAACACAUGCAAGUCGAACGGAAAGGCCCUGCUUUUGUGGGGUGCUCGAGUGGCGAACGGGUGGGUAACACGUGAGUAACCUGCCCUUGACUUUGGGAUAACUUCAGGAAACUGGGGCUAAUACCGGAUAGGAGCUCCUGCUGCACGGUGGGGGUUGGAAAGUUUCGGCGGUUGGGGAUGGACUCGCGGCUUAUCAGCUUGUUGGUGGGGUAGUGGCUUACCAAGGCUUUGACGGGUAGCCGGCCUGAGAGGGUGACCGGCCACAUUGGGACUGAGAUACGGCCCAGACUCCUACGGGAGGCAGCAGUGGGGAAUAUUGCACAAUGGGCGGAAGCCUGAUGCAGCAACGCCGCGUGCGGGAUGACGGCCUUCGGGUUGUAAACCGCUUUCGCCUGUGACGAAGCGUGAGUGACGGUAAUGGGUAAAGAAGCACCGGCUAACUACGUG